UUAUUUAACAUAAUUGUUUUAAUUUAUUUCCUGAUUCUUUGUUGGGUAAUACUAUUUGCAGAUUCCGUGAUUCAUGGGUUUACUCCCGUCGGACAUGCUAAUCAUUACAUGCCAUCUUUGAAAGCAGAUUCCAUUGUGAAAGUAGAUCGUUUUGAGGUUGCUAGGUGCUCCAAGUGAUUGCGAACACAAACCUAGAAAUUGGUAAACAUAGCAUAUUUGGCAGCUCCAAGCAAGAUUACAAUCAGGCAAAUUCAAGUGGAAUGACAUACCAACAACUGAAACUGCCUCUGUCAUGGAUAGCUCUCUCCCAAGAAUUGCAUUGACUAUGGUUUCUGGGAAGAAAAAGAUCUUGCUCCUGAAAAAAAACCGUGACAACCCUGUUGUAAGAUUUUAGUUUGUGCAGAACAAAAAACCUUGAUUUAUUUUCUAUUUAGUAUAGUGAUAGUUGUUGACAAUCAUUAGUUAUUUGCCAAUAUGUUUUUUAUGCGGCAUUUCAGAACUCUCCAUUCCAAGCGGAAUAGCAGAUGAAAGCUAAUUUUUUUGGAAGCUCAUCGACUUCAAGACAGAAUCAGAAGAUAGAUGUUGGUAGGAGGUUAAUCAAGGGAAUAUUUCAGAGAAGUGAGACGGCCUAGCCAGACUUCAUCUUUUGUACAGCCUGAGCAAAGAGUGGAACCCACAAAACACGAGAGAAGAAAAAACAAAACACGAAAUUAACAUAUUCAGAUCUUCUCUCUUGCAUGUCUAACAUCUGGCGCCGACGAAACUCAACACCCACGGCAGACGAAGCUGAUGCAAGUAAACCUCUCAUCAAUCAUGCUUAAAAUCAAUCUACGCUUUUCAAUCUCACAAACUAAGAAACAAUUUUACCUACAUGAAUCGGGAAAUUAGUGCCCACAUUCCCGACAUAGAGAAAAAAAGGAGUUGAAAUCCUAACAGUUUUUUCAGUAUUAGACUAAACCACAGAUUCAAGGCCCAGUUAUUUUGAAACCCUAACAUUUUAAAUCUAAAUUUAUUAUCUUUUUCCAUGCACUAUUUGAUUUAUAUACAAACAACUACCUAAGUAAACACUAACAAGUUCCAUCACCCUCAACUUUGAACAUAUAAGAUAUAAAAAUAUCAACAUAUGACUUCAUCGUUCAUUCUUAUAUCAAACUCAUCAACUUAUGUAAUAUCCAAAGUCCCAUCAAUCACAUUAUAGACAAAAAACAAUAAAAUUCCGUAAACAAAACUAUACAAUACACCUAUAAUGUAGCCGACCCCGCGCUUGCGCGGAGACUAUGCACCUAGUGUAUAUAAAAACCCAAUCCAAACCCAUACCCAAUAGUUUUAUGUCAAUGAACGUUAGUUUUUAAUCUACUAAUCAAACUCCUAUAGGCUUUCUUUGGUUUAUCUUGUUAAUCAAUUUUUUUUUAAUCUCCAUUAUCAGUUUUGGCCUUUUAGGUAGUACAAAUAUUGUUUCCUAAACAACAAGAUAACUCAAAGUAUGUACACGGAGUUGGUUGAGAACCAAUUAAACAUAUUAACCCAUCGAAAAGAUUUUAGAAGUAUACGUUUGGAGUGUUUUGUUUUCAGUUUAUCACUAACCAACUAAUAAAUGACUAUUAAAAAUUUAGUAUGUAGUACCUAAUUAGUGAUAGAUUAAGGACCUAAUCAUAAUCAUAAGUGGAGUCAACUAUUCCAAAAGCACUAUUUCUAUAUGUGGUUCAACAAAACUGACUAUAGUACAAUAAUACCAAAGAGAUCCAUCAGUACAAUAAUCACAAAGAGAUUUGAUAGAACGAUGUCCACUAGUUGUACAAUCAUAAGGUGAUUAUUCCACAUAGAAAACAUGUUUCAGAGACUGAAUAAUAACAUUCCUUUCAUUAAUCUUAUAAAAUCAUUUGAGUAAUACAAAAGAGAAGAUGAUGCAGAGACAGCAGAUGAGAGAUGUCACGUCCCCUCAAAACACACAAAUAAUAAAACAAAAUAAAAAAAUCACAAACCCCAAAGAAAAAACAUUUUUUUAAAACUUCUGUAAUUUUACAAUUUUUUAAAAACAUUUUCUUUUUUUUUUAACAUAAGAAAA